CAGUAGCCGCGGUAAUACGAAGGGUGCAAGCGUUAAUCGGAAUUACUGGGCGUAAAGCGCACGCAGGCGGUUUGUUAAGUCAGAUGUGAAAUCCCCGAGCUUAACUUGGGAACUGCAUUUGAAACUGGCAAGCUAGAGUCUUGUAGAGGGGGGUAGAAUUCCAGGUGUAGCGGUGAAAUGCGUAGAGAUCUGGAGGAAUACCGGUGGCGAAGGCGGCCCCCUGGACAAAGACUGACGCUCAGGUGCGAAAGCGUGGGGAGCAAACAGGAUUAGAUACCCCUGUAGUCCCUGUCUCUUAUAC
rnacentral:rRNA from 1 species